UACAGAGACUGCAAGCGUUAUUCGGAUUCACUGGGCGUAAAGGGUGCGCAGGCGGCCAAGUGUGUGAGGCGUGAAAGCCCGGGGCUUAACCCCGGAAUUGCACCUCAAACUACAUGGCUAGAGCAUUGGAGAGGGUAGCGGAAUUCACGGUGUAGCGGUGAAAUGCGUAGAUAUCUGGAGGAACACCGGUGGCGAAGGCGGCGUCCUGGACCAACACUGACACUGAGGAGCGAAAGCCAGGGGAGCAAACGGG
rnacentral:rRNA from 1 species